UCGAGAAUAAUUCACAAUGGGGGCAACCCUGAUGGUGCAACGCCGCGUGGAGGAUGACGGUCUUCGGAUUGUAAACUCCUGUCAUCCGGGAGCAAGAUUCGGGGGUUAACAGCCCGCGGGUUUGAUAGUACCGGAAGAGGAAGGGACGGCUAACUUCGUGCCAGCAGCCGCGGUAAUACGAAGGUCCCGAGCGUUGUUCGGAAUCACUGGGCGUAAAGGGAGCGCAGGCCGCGCGGCAAGUCAGAUGUGAAAUCCCGGGGCUCAACCCCGGAACCGCAUCCGAUACUGCCGCGCUCAGAGGAUUGGAGAGGUAGCUGGAAUUCUUGGUGUAGCAGUGAAAUGCGUGGAUAUCAAGAGGAACACUCGUGGCGAAAGCGAGCUACUGGACAACUCCUGACGCUGAGGCUCGAAGGCCAGGGUAGCGAAAGGG
rnacentral:rRNA from 1 species